AGUAAAUAGAUACCCAGGUAGUCCACGCCGUAAACGAUGUCGACUUGGAGGUUGUGCCCUUGAGGCGUGGCUUCCGGAGCUAAACGCGUUAAGUCGACCGCCUGGGGAGUACGGCCGCAAGGUUAAAACUCAAAUGAAUUGACGGGGGCCCGCACAAGCGGUGGAGCAUGUGGUUUAAUUCGAUGCAACGCGAAGAACCUUACCUACUCUUGACAUCCAGAGAACUUAGCAGAGAUGCUUUGGUGCCUUCGGGAACUCUGAGACAGGUGCUGCAUGGCUGUCGUCAGCUCGUGUUGUGAAAUGUUGGGUUAAGUCCCGCAACGAGCGCAACCCUUAUCCUUUGUUGCCAGCGGUUCGGCCGGGAACUCAAAGGAGACUGCCAGUGAUAAACUGGAGGAAGGUGGGGAUGACGUCAAGUCAUCAUGGCCCUUACGAGUAGGGCUACACACGUGCUGCAAUGGCGCAUACAAAGAGAAGCGACCUCGCGAGAGCAAGCGGACCUCAUAAAGUGCGUCGUAGUCCGGAUUGGA
rnacentral:rRNA from 1 species